UCCAUUGCACUAUGCCUACUCUCAUUGCUAUGUUACUGUUGGAAUAGAAUUUUUACUUUUCAUUCUGAAGAUAUUUGGACUACACCUUUCAAAAGCACAGCACCAAAAGAAAGCAUCGUUCUCAUCAUAUGUUAAAAAUCCCACAGCAGGAAAUCUCUUCAAACCUCUGUGCUGUUUUUGUAUCACUUUUUAUUAAAUACUUUUUGAAGGAUAUUGAAAAAUAUGAGAAAUGUCCCAAUGAUUUCAUUCUCAUGGAAGAUAAAUGGUUCAGUAACAAGGAUGCCACAAUGGAAAGAAAUAAAUGGCACAAAACUUUGCACACAUUGUUUACUCUGCAUUGAUCUAAGUGUAUCUCUAACACAAAGGAAUAUUUUAUUGUAUGUUUUUUAAAGCUUCUAUAUACAAUGCUUUUAAGGUGAUGCAAUAAUCUGUGGUUGCAAAUUAACCAAUGCUGCACAGAUAGACACAACAGAAUCAAUAUAUGGUUUCAUUGUUAAUGGGACUACACCUUGUAAUAUACUAAAUGACUUCAGUCGUUGAAUAAUUCUUUCAGUGUGAAUCCUCUUUGUAGCUACUCUCCUUGUCAUUGUUGUUGCACCAGUGCCAACAUUACCUUUAUGCAUAAUUGGAGGUGAAAUUAAACGGACAUGUUGAAGGGCAAGUAAAUCCUGGAUAUUAAAUCCUUUGUCAGCCAUGACUUCAUCCCCUGCAGCUAACUCUUCCAAAAAUCCACAUCUCUUGAUGAUUUCCUUGUCGCUUAUGCAACUACUGAACAAUGUAGAGAUAUAGUUGAUAUGUAGAAGCGGUGACAUGGAAAUAAAUAGUUUGAAGGUGUUUCUGCCUUUGUAGUUA